AGCUUCAAGAUUUAGUCAUUCUUCUGGCAAACAUAUGUGGAAGGCCUCCGGGGUAGCACACCCUUCACCGUGCCCUGGAGAUGCUGGGAUGCGACAAAAAAGUAGGCUUCUCCCAUGAUGAACCUCACGGAUGGAGUUUCGCUCUUGUUGCCCAGGCUGGAGUGCAAUGGUAUGAUCUCGACUCACCGCAACCUCUGCCUACCCGGUUCAAGCGAUUCUCCUGCAUCACCCUCCAGAGUAGCUGGUAUUACAGUUGGAGGCAUCUGUCCACCCAUGUGGUUCCAGACACGUUCAUGUGGCCACCAUGACCCCGUCGGCAUCACAGGGGUAACCAAGAGAGCAGCAAGUUCCUGGGACAGAGGAGACAGAAGGGAAUUUCCAGGUUCUUCAGGACGUUCACAACCACACUGAGAAGCAUCUUUGCAGAUAAGUAUUUAAACUUACCAGCCCAUAGCCUACCAGCCUGCCCUCUUCUGGUCUGUGCAGGAAAGUGUAGUAUCCUAGAAUGCCAAAGUGGGAGGGGAAAUGGGUGAUGUAGCUCAU
rnacentral:lncRNA from 10 species